CUAGCGGUCACUAGCCGAACUCUACGCAUAUUUCUUCUCCCGUGCUUUGGUAGGAGUAACAUGCGUAUGAACGGCGAGAGAGGAAAUGCAUUCGUAAAAAAAAUGUGCGCACUGUAUAGGGUAGAAGUCGCUGCAAAAGUAGACCUGUCAGAUUAGUCUUCAAAACAUCCAUUACCGGGAAAAAUUGUAAACGGAAAUUUUUUUACACAAAUUGAUUCGCAACUUUGUAAAGAAGAUAGUUACGCUGAUGCAUAGGUACAAAUUAAGUAAGUGAUUGAUUUAAGGAUAGAGACCCGGUAUAGACAUGUUGACUAUUCUAACGAUGAAAAAUAAGGGAAGUUUUAGUGACGAUGCUGUGGAUGGAUGAUUGGAUAAUAAGAAGGUUGGUGGACUAGGAAGGGUCUUAGCCACCCUUGAUAGAAAGUUGCUAGUGGGAAGCAUCGUACGUGAGAAAAACUAACUUUCUCGUGUCUUCUCGUAGUAAACAAACUUUAGAAAACGACUAAGUAAAAAGACCUUUGUUCGGUCUGAAGGACCUUAGCUAGAAAAUUCCUGAGAUUUAUGAUAGGUCCUUAAGGCUACUGAAGGUACGCAGUAAAAAUGUGUACACAUCUGGUUGCCAUCUUGCCCGCGGUGUGUGGCCUGGUCCAGGUAGUGUCGCCAGACGUAACACACAAUACAGUACAUAAUACAAUGAAAGUAAAAAAUGAAAUUACUUAUUUUAAACUACUUAUACAAAAUGUAUUUGGAAAGAGUUUCAAUAAAUCAGAAUAGUUCAGCAAAAA